CAUGCAAGUCAACUUGAAUUUGGGUUUUUAACUUAGAUUUGGGUGGCGGACGGGUGAGUAACGCGUAAAGAACUUGCCUCACAGCUAGGGACAACAUUUAGAAAUGAAUGCUAAUACCUGAUAUUAUGAUUUUAAGGCAUCUUAGAAUUAUGAAAGCUAUAUGCGCUGUGAGAGAGCUUUGCGUCCCAUUAGCUAGUUGGAGAGGUAACAGCUCACCAAGGCGAUGAUGGGUAGCCGGCCUGAGAGGGUGAACGGCCACAAGGGGACUGAGACACGGCCCUUACUCCUACGGGAGGCAGCAGUGGGGAAUAUUGGACAAUGGACCGAGAGUCUGAUCCAGCAAUUCUGUGUGCACGAUGAAGUUUUUCGGAAUGUAAAGUGUUUUCAGUUGGGAAGAAAAAAUGACGGUACCAACAGAAGAAGUGACGGCUAAAUACGUGCCAGCAGCCGCGGUAAUACGUAUGUCACGAGCGUUAUCCGGAUUUAUUGGGCGUAAAGCGCGUCUAGGUGGUUAUGUAAGUCUGAUGUGAAAAUGCAGGGCUCAACUCUGUAUUGCGUUGGAAACUGUAUAACUAGAGUACUGGAGAGGUAAGCGGAACUACAAGUGUAGAGGUGAAAUUCGUAGAUAUUUGUAGGAAUGCCGAUGGGGAAGCCAGCUUACUGGACAGAUACUGACGCUAAAGCGCGAAAGCGUGGGUAGCAAACAGGAUUAGAUACCCUGGUAGUCCACGCUGUAAACGAUGAUUACUAGGUGUUGGGGGUCGAACCUCAGCGCCC
rnacentral:rRNA from 1 species